rnacentral:rRNA from 1 species
GACGAACCGUGCGAACGUUAUUCGGAAUCACUGGGCUUAAAGCGCGUGUAGGCGGAUGGGCACGUCCGACGCUGAAAUCCCCCGGCUCAACCGGGGAACGGGCGCGGAUACGACUCGUCUCGAGGGACGUAGGGGGACCUGGAACUUCCGGUGGAGCGGUGAAAUGCGUUGAGAUCGGAAGGAACGCCCGUGGCGAAAGCGGCUCACUGGACCACAACUGACGCUGAUGCACGAAAGCUAGGGGAGCAAACAGG